rnacentral:rRNA from 1 species
GACGAACGCUGGCGGCGUGCUUAACACAUGCAAGUCGAACGGAAAGGCCCUGCUUGUGUGGUGUGCUCGAGUGGCGAACGCGUGAGUAACACGUGCGUAACCUACCCUUGUCUUUGGGCUACCUUCAGGAAACUGAGGCUAAUCCCGUAUAGGAGCCCCUGCUGCGUUGUGGGCGUUGGAAAGUUUCGGCUGUUGGGGUUGGACUCGCGGGUUAUCGGCUUGUUGGUGGGGUUGUGGCUUACCAAGGCUUUGACGGGUAGUCGGCCAGAGAGGGUAUCCGCUCACAUUGGGACAGAGGUACGGGCCAGAGUCCUAUGGGAGACAGAAGGCGGUAAUAUUUCACAGUGAGAGGAAGUCUGAUAAAGCAGCGCCGCGUGCGGAAUGACGUUCUUCGGGUUAGGAACAGCUGUCGCCUGAGACGCAGCGUGAGUGACGUUACCGGGAGAAGAAGCACCGGCUAACUACGUG